rnacentral:rRNA from 1 species
GCAAGUCGAGGGGUAACAUUGUAGCUUGCUACAGAUGACGACCGGCGCACGGGUGAGUAACGCGUAUGCAACCUACCUUAUACUGGGGGAUAGCCCAGAGAAAUCUGGAUUAAUACCGCAUAAUAUGUUUGAAUCGCAUGGUUUAAAUAUUAAAACUCCGGUGGUAUAAGAUGGGCAUGCGUAGCAUUAGUUAGUUGGUGAGGUAACGGCUCACCAAGACAAUGAUGCUUAGGGGGUCUGAGAGGAUAGUC